rnacentral:rRNA from 1 species
UACAGAGGCCUCGAGCGUUAGGCGGAAUCACUGGGCUUAAAGCGUGUGUAGGCGGACUUCUAAGUACCUUGUGAAAUCCCACCGCUCAACGGUGGAACCGCUGGGUAUACUGGUCGUCUUGAGCCAUCUAGGGGCUACCGGAACAAAUGGUGGAGCGGUGAAAUGCGUAGAUAUCAUUUGGAACGCCAAUGGUGAAAACAGGUAGCUGGGGAUGUGCUGACGCUGAGACACGAAAGCCAGGGGAGCGAACGGG